rnacentral:rRNA from 1 species
AGGAACACCAGUGNGAAGGCGACUUUUUUGGGCUGUAACUACGNUGAGGCGNGAAAGCGUGGGGAGCAAACAGGAUUAGAUACCNUGGUAGUCCACGCCGUAAACGAUGAAUGCUAGGUGUUAGGGGUUUCGAUACCCUUGGUGCCGAAGUUAACACAUUAAGCAUUCCGCNUGGGGAGUACGGUCGCAAGACUGAAACUCAAAGGAAUUGACGGGGACCCGCACAAGCAGUGGAGUAUGUGGUUUAAUUCGAAGCAACGCGAAGAACCUUACCAAGUCUUGACAUCCCUCUGAAUCCUCUAGAGAUAGAGGCGGCCUUCGGGACAGAGGUGACAGGUGGUGCAUGGUUGUCGUCAGCUCGUGUCGUGAGAUGUUGGGUUAAGUCCCGCAACGAGCGCAACCCUUGAUUUUAGUUGCCAGCACUUUGGGUGGGCACUCUAGAAUGACUGCCGGUGACAAACCGGAGGAAGGCGGGGAUGACGUCAAAUCAUCAUGCCCCUUAUGACUUGGGCUACACACGUACUACAAUGGCUGGUACAACGGGAAGCGAAGCCGCGAGGUGGAGCCAAUCCUAUAAAAGCCAGUCUCAGUUCGGAUUGCAGGCUGCAACUCGCCUGCAUGAAGUCGGAAUUGCUAGUAAUNAAGGAUCAGGGGGCUUUCAAG